GGUCUCACUGUAGUUCCUCUAGUUUAUAGUGUGGGUCCUUCACCAGAGCAGAGAGCUGCUCUACAGCUGAUUCACUAAGCAGGAUAUUCUGACUCAGGUCCAGCACUCCGAGACUUGAGGAAUGUGAGGUCAGAGCAGAGGCCAGAUAGGAACAGCUCUUCCCCACCAGAUUACAGCCACCCAGUUGAAGUUUCUCCAGUUUGCAGUUUUGAUGGCAAAGAGCGGAACAUAAAAGU